rnacentral:rRNA from 1 species
AUUGAACGCUGGCGGCAGGCUUAACACAUGCAAGUCGAGCGAGCGGCGGACGGGUGAGUAAUGUCUGGGAAACUGCCUGAUGGAGGGGGAUAACUACUGGAAACGGUAGCUAAUACCGCAUACCAUCAGAUGUGCCCAGAUGGGAUUAGCUAGUAGGUGGGGUAAUGGCUCACCUAGGCGACGAUCCCUAGCUGGUCUGAGAGGAUGACCCGCCACACUGGAACUGAGACACGGUCCCGACUCCUACGGGAGGCAGCAGUGGGGAAUAUUGCACAAUGGGCGAAAGCCUGAUUGAGCCCCGCCGCGUGGUUGAAGAAGGCCUUCGGGUUGGAAAGGACUUUUAGCGGGGAGGCGGUACUCGCAGAAGAAGCACCGGCUAACUCCGUGCCAGCAGCCGCGGUAAUUC